GGAAAGAUGAAAAGAACUUUGAAAAGAGAGUUAAACAGUACGUGAAAUUGUUGAAAGGGAAACGAUUGAAGCCAGUCGUACCGGUGGGUAAUCAGCCUUUCGGCGUGAUUAUGUAGAGCGUGAGGAGUUAACACGCCCUCAUGCCUGCAUAUUCGUGUUCUUUGGGUGUACUUACCCGCAUGGUAGGUUAACAUCAAUUUCGAACGUCAUAAAAUGGUUGGAGGAAUGUAGCUUCGAUCUCGUAUUGAAGUGUUAUAGCCUUCGGCAGAUGUGAUGAUCGGGAUUGAGGAUUGCAACGGAUACCCCUCGGGCUACCCGUCUGAUCUCUGAAAGUUACUCUGGUGCCGAAAGCUCGCUUACGGUCAUCAAAGUUGACGUUCAACAGGUUAGAACGGGAUAAAUUCGUUAAGGAUGUUGACGUAAUGGCUUUAAACGACCCGUCUUGAAACACGGACCA
rnacentral:rRNA from 1 species